rnacentral:rRNA from 1 species
GACGAACGCUGGCGGCGUGCUUAACACAUGCAAGUCGAACGGAAAGGCCCUGCUUUUGUGGGGUGCUCGAGUGGCGAACGGGUGAGUAACACGUGAGUAACCUGCCCUUGACUUUGGGAUAACUUCAGGAAACUGGGGCUAAUACCGGAUAGGAGCUCCUGCUGCAUGGUGGGGGUUGGAAAGUUUCGGCGGUUGGGGAUGGACUCGCGGCUUAUCAGCUUGUUGGUGGGGUAGUGGCUUACCAAGGCUUUGACGGGUAGCCGGCCUGAGAGGGUGACCGGCCACAUUGGGACUGAGAGACGGCCCAGACUCCUACGGGAGGCAGCAGGGGGGAAUACUGCACAAUGGGCGGAAGCCUGAUGCAGCAACGCCGCGUGCGGGAUGACGGCCUUCGGGUUGUAACCCGCUUUCGCCUGUGACGAAGCGUGAGUGACGGUAAUGGGUAAAGAAGCACCGGCUAACUACGUG